CUGGUGACGCUCACGUCGCGAAGUGAUGUCGCUGUUAUGAAGCUGGCAGCCAGCUGGGUCUAUAUAAUAAAAGCAGGCAUCGUGCCUGGUCCGUGCUUAGGUGACGCUCACGUCGCGAAGUGAUGUCGCUGUUAUGAAGCUGGCAGCCAGCUGGGUCUAUAUAAUAAAAGCAGGCAUCGUGCCUGGUCCGUGCUUAGGUGACGCUCACGUCGCGAAGUGAUGUCGCUGUUAUGAAACUGGCGGCCAGCUGUGUGUAUAUAAUAAAAGCAGCCGUUGUGACUGGCCAGUGCUUAGGUGACGCUCACGUCGCGAAGAGAUGUCGCUGUUAUGAAGCUGGCAGCCAGCUGGGUCUAUAUAAUAAAAGCAGGCACCGUGCCUGGCCAGUGCUUAGGAGACGCUCACGACGCGCAGUAAUGUGAUUUGAAAGUCAGUAGUGACUUCAACAGUUCCUGGCUGCCAGCUGGCUCUAUAUAAGUAAAGCAGGCAGCGUGUAGUGUUUCAAACUUCUUGCCAACUUUCAUUAUAUAGUGAUUGGAAUAGCGCACUACCACUUAGUCAUACAAAAAUACGUAUUAUUUUUAUUUUCACAUAUAAAUAGUUAAGCUUUAUUCUCAUAGCAUGUUCUUUCAUCUAUUCUACUUUCAACUAAAAAUACUAAUAUCUAAAAAAGUUAUUUGUUAAUAACCUUUUUUCUAAAUUGCACUUAAAAUAUUUGUAAAUACCACUUCUGUGAGCCAUUUAUUAACUGAUUUAUGUAUAUCUGUAUGUGUUUAACUAUAUUUUUGUGGUGCUGGUAAUUAUUUGUCCCUACUACUUCCUACUUCCAAUGCGAAUGAUGCUUGUGUACUUACAAUGGGAAUAAUAUUUGUGGUGCUCAUAACAACAACUAUUUUAUGCACUAUGGAUGCCUUGCAUUUUAUUUG